rnacentral:rRNA from 2 species
GGCUAUCAUUUUUGGAUGAUCCCGCGGCGUCUUAGUUAGUUGGUGAGGUAAAGGGCCACCAAGAAGAUGAUAAGUUGCCGACCUGAAAGGGUUAUUGGCCACCUUGGGAAUGAGACCCGGCCCAAACUUCUUCGGGGGGCAGCCGUUGGGAAUUUUUCCCCAUGGAAGAAAGUUUGGUGGAGCAAUGCCGCGUGAGUGAAGAAGGGUUUCGGCUUGUUAAACUUUGUUGUUAAAGGAGGACCCCUUUGAGAGUAACUGUUCAAGGGUUGGCGGUAUUUAACCAGAAAGCCACGGCUAACUACGUGCCAGCAGCCGCGGUAAUAGGUAGGUGGCAAGCGUUGUCCGGAUUUAUUGGGCGUAAAGCGAGCGCAGGCGGUUUUUUAAGUCUGAUGUGAAAGCCUUCGGCUUAACCGGAGAAGUGCAUCG